rnacentral:rRNA from 1 species
UAAGACGAACCGUCCGAACGUUAUUCGGUAUCACUGGGCUUAAAGAGUUCGUAGGCGGCCCGACAGGUGAGGUGUGAAAUCCCUCGGCUCAACCGAGGAAUUGCGCUUCAAACCGUCAGGCUUGAGGGAGAUAGAGGUGAGCGGAACAGAUGGUGGAGCGGUGAAAUGCGUUGAUAUCAUCUGGAACACCGGUGGCGAAAGCGGCUCACUGGAUCUUUUCUGACGCUGAGGAACGAAAGCUAGGGUAGCGAACGGG